GAGGAUUUGUUUGUGCCCUUUGUUUUUGUGGUGUUCGCUCUUUGGACUAAGAGGGACAGGACAUCAAUCCAUGCUCUCCAAAUCUUUCUGAACAAGUCUCUCAUAUUUCAAACUUGUGUCCAGCAAGCUCCAGGUGCUCUCCAUCACCCUCUUUAAAGACCUGCUGGAGCUUGUAAGGGGGCCCAACUGGAGGCAGAUGAAGGAGCAUGUGCUCCAGAGCCUGGUCCCACUGCUCCUCCUUGUGCAUGAUGAGCGUCCCAACGUGUCCCAGACCUCAAAGGCUUGCAGCAGGACAGCAAGUCCACAGUCUGAUGCCUGGCUUCUCAGACCAUCUUCAUCCUGGAGGCCUUCAAGAACCAGCCUCCAGCCUGCUGCGGCCUAUGGACAUUUGUCCAUAGGAUGACCACAAUGUGCACUGCGGAGAGCCCGGUCAUUGAAGCUGCCCAGCUGCCCUAGCUCUGGGAAAAGCCAGCCUCCCUUCUCUGGGGGCUUUUGGCAUCAGACCCCGCCUGGAGCAAGGUGGAACACUUCAUGCCAGACCAUGACUUCUUCCCCAUUGGUUUCCUGCCCUGUCCAGUCACCAGGUACAGCGCCAAAAAUGUACACGACUGGAAAUGGGAACGGAGGGUAGAACAUAAACCCUACACCAGGUGUGGGAACAUGUCAAAAAGUACAUGUUGAAUAAAGCUAUUGAGCAGUUAACUAGUCAUGUGCUCCCCCUCCCCUCCCGGUACAUAGCAAU